ACAGGUGGCUGUAUUUAAGAUCCCUUCAGUGGUGUGCAGAAAUCUGAAAUAGUGUAAAUUCAACUGCUGUAGCAUUGACAAGUGACGUAAUUAGCAAGAACAAGGAACAGACAAAUAUAUAUAUAGUUUGACAGAGCAGAAGGACACAGUUCCUAUCCUGAAGAGUGUAUAGUCUGAAAUGGCAAAAUCAAUGAGAGGAAGAAAGAGACACAGCAUCUGAUGAACAAACUUCAGGAAGAAGGUUGAAUGCUACACAUCUAGGACCUAGAAAAUAUGAAGGAGGAAAUAUUUCUGAUUAUAGCAGCUGUUUAAGUUCAAGACAGAUAUCUGUUUAAUAGCUCUGAUGAUUAAACUGGGGAGCCUGCUGCAGGAGGGGAUGAUCCUUGGCUUAGCCUCCUUCUGCACACUGCUGAGCUGGAGCAGUAGGACUUCCACGGCUUCCAUUACAGAAUGGAGCCACUGUUCCUCCCCUCUGCAGAUUUUGCAGAUUUUUCUGCCCUUUCCUCCAUGAUGCAAAGUUAAUUUGCCCAAGGUCACACAACAAAUUUGAAGCAGAACUGGGAGAGAACCUGUUCCUAAUGAUUAUAGGCAAUGCUUCCUCCCUAGCCCCUUACCCCAAACACCUUCAUUCCGUUUGUAAUGGUUUUUUCCCCUCUUGGUGUACCUUUCUUUUAGACUUCUGUUGUACUAGCAUCAAGAAUUCAUGUGCGUACCUGAUGGCAUCCAGUUAAUCAAAAGCAAGGGUAAAAGGGAUUAGGAAGUGCAGUGGGUGAAUGCACUCGUUUUUUUUUCACUUCACCUGUUGAAGUUACAAAUGAAAAGGCAUCCCCGUUACACAUCAAAAAAGUGCCAAAUAUGGGGUAUAAUUGCAACUCUUUGAUAAUGAGGGACCUAUAUCUGCAACACAAUGGGAAUAAAACCUGUCUUUUUACUAGGAGCUCAGUUGCAACUUUCUGGCAUACCCCUGCAUUUGGCUUUAGAGAAGGGAAGUAAGAAUAGCUGCACCAUCCCAAGGUGAGCACUUAGAGAAAUUAUGCGCUAAAGCUUCUAGGUUGUGCUGGGAGAAGAAAUGUCUGAAACACUCCUUCAAGGCAUGCAGCAUAUUCUUACUCCUUCAGCCACAUGUUCUGCUGGCAGAUGUAUACAGGGAGAGCAGUUUGGUUUUGCCUACUCAUUGCACUGCCCCAUGCCUCGUACAGCAAGUUGCUCUCUUGGUACUUAUGUGGGCUGCUAAAGGGGAAGAAAGUCCUUAAUUAUCAAGGAAUAAUUGUCAGUCUAGAAUAAACACACACCUAAUCAGUCUGUGCCAUUACUCACAGGAACAUCUUCAUCAGGUUUGAAGGUGCUUACCAGAGCUGUGCCACGUGAUGUGUAGCUUGUGUACGUUCUCCUUAGUAGUUGUUGAAUCCCAGCAUGCAGUUGCUCUGCUGGAGUUUGGGUUAGGAAGAUCAUCUUCCAGCUUUUUUGUGUAUUUACCUAACAAUUUACAUGUGUCAGCUUCCAGAAUGGCUAGGAUAACUGGUCAAAGUGGAAACAAAGAUAAAAAGAGGACAUAAGUGCCAAGUGUAGGGUCAUAAGUCAAAUGGAAGGGUGGGUCACAAAUCAGAUGAAGGUGAAUAGUCCAUGCAUAUACCUAAUGGGUUCAAUACAUUAAGAAACCACACACACCACAAUACAUCAGCACAGAAAUCUAAACGGUUUAAAAUACACUGGUCUACAAUUUUUGAGAAGUCGUCUGCUUCAGAGAUAAAAUGUGCUAUUUAUUAUGUAUUUUGAUGUGCUGAAUUCAAAUAUGACAAUUAAAACAACUG